rnacentral:rRNA from 1 species
UCAGUAGCGACGUGACGGAGGACAUUACUGAGUAUCGGGUCUUUUAAGGCCCUUACUCCUCCCACCCUUUGUGUACAUUAUAUUUAAUUUAGUUGCUUUGGCGAGUUAAUCAGCUAAGCAGAAAACGAUCUCUGUCAACCGAUUCUCGCCAAAGGAACAACCUUUUAAACUCUUCAAAUUAAGUAUUCUGUCUGAGUUUUAAAAAAUAAAAUUUAAAACUUUCAACAACGGAUCUCUUGGUUCUGGCAUCGAUGAAGAACGCAGCGAAAUGCGAUAAGUAAUGUGAAUUGCAGAAUUCAGUGAAUCAUCGAAUCUUUGAACGCACAUUGCGCCCUUUGGUAUUCCGAGGGGCAUGUCUGUUCGAGCGUCAUUUCAAACCCUCAAGCUUUCUUGCUUGUUAUUGGGCAUCGUCUGCCUAAAGAUGUGCCUGAAACUCAUUGGCAAUAGCGUCUAGCUUCUUUGCGUAGUUAUUUUAUUCGCUCAGGAGAACUAAGCAUUACUCGCCAAAUAAUUUAUCUUUUUUUUUCUAUGGUUUGACCUCGGAUCAGGUAGGGAUACCCGCUGAACUUAAGCAUAUCAAUAAGGCGGGAGGAA